UGCAUCGGCCGGAAUCGAGCGGCCGCCCGCGUGGCAGGCGAGCAUUCUACCACUGAACCACAUGC
rnacentral:tRNA from 13 species